UUUCCUCUCUAUUCACCUUUGAAGGGUAGGAUAGUUGCCCUACUAUGUUUCUGACGGUGACGGAGAAUUAGGGUUCGAUUCCGGAGAGGGAGCCUGAGAAACGGCUACCACAUCCCAAGGAAGGCAGCAGGCGCGCAAAAUUACCCAAUCCUGACACGGGGAGGUAGUGACAAUAAAUAACAAUACACGGGCUCUAUGAGUCUGGUAAUUGGAAUGAGUACAAUCUAAAUCCC
rnacentral:rRNA from 1 species